rnacentral:lncRNA from 1 species
AGGCGCCCCCGUGUCGAUCCCCUAGGACUCUGGUGGGGCGCGGUGGGGGCGGAGUCUGUUGCCAGGGCAACCCGGGGUGGCGGGCCCUGGGUCCAUCUUUCCUUUUUUUUCCGGUUCGCUCCGUGUGCUCGGCUUUCCUCACUCCGGUUGCCAGAAGAAUGCACACACCACGUCACCGUUCUGCAUCCUCUUCUCUCCUUAGUUUGCUUGUUUCUCCAAGGACACAGCCAAAGGCAGGGAGGCCACCUGGGAAGCCCCUAGAGAUAACGGUGGCCCAAAUGAAGACAACACAGUGGGAAUUGCUGGGGCGGGGAUGCCAGGAAGAGGCAGAGAGAAGCCUAGGGAAUGCAGAGUCUGGGAUGGCUCGCGGUCCUGAGGAGGGACACACAGAGGUAGGAAGUAAUUAUAGUCAAUUAUUUUUGUAUACUACUUUAUACAACUUCCACAAAUAUUAACUUGUUUGUCCCUCUUCACAGAUUUGGGAGGGAAAUCUCACUAGCCCCUUGAAUUCGGGUGUUCUGAUUCAAAAGCUGAUGCACUCCACCCCCCCUCCCCCACUGCUCCAUCACAAACUCUAGGAAUAAACUCCUAUGAAGGACGUCUGACUGUUAGCCG